CUAAAUAUUGAAAUAUUAGGUGCUUUUGUUUCUUAGAAACAAAAGUUAAAAGGGAAAGUGGAAAAGCCACUGCAGCCCGCCGCUACUGUGAGGAUGAUGAAACCUUAUUAUAUUAGGUCACUGGAUAAUUUUUAUCUGGGAAGACAAGGGAGUAAAAUGAAUCUGAGUCAGGAAACCUGCCUAGUAUUUGUUGAUUCU
rnacentral:ncRNA from 2 species